GAUGAACGUUGGCGGUGCGCUUAAUGCAUGCAAGUCGAGGGAGAACCAUUCGUUCCGUAAGGAUCGGAUGGGAAACCGGCGAACGGGUGCGUAACACGUGAGGAACCUGCCCCGAAGAUCGGGAUAGCCCGGGGAAACCCGGGAUUAAUACCGAAUACCUUCCCACCUCCGCAUGGUGGAGGGAAGAAACAGUCCGCUGCUUCGGGAUGGCCUCGCGGCCUAUCAGCUUGUUGGUGAGGUAACGGCUCACCAAGGCGAAGACGGGUAGCUGGUCUGAGAGGACGAUCAGCCACACUGGGACUGAGACACGGCCCAGACUCCUACGGGAGGCAGCAGCAGGGAAUAUUGCACAAGUGGGACGAAAGCCUGAUGCAGCGACACCGCGUGGCGGGAUGAAGGCCUUCGGGUUGUAAACCGCUUUCAGGAGGGACGAAAAUGACGGUACCUCCAGAAGAAGGCCCGGCCAACUACGUG
rnacentral:rRNA from 1 species